UCCUUUGUGAGAUGCCACUAUCGGGGGAAACCGGAUGGCUUCACAGAAAAAGUUCGUUUAAAGGAAAAUGGUUUAAGGCCAAGGAAAUACCUAGAAAACGGAAAGUCUUGAAACCAGAGCCGGAAAAAGAAUGCCUGUGUUUCGAAGUUCCUUCUUAGGACGAAACCAGCUGAAGCUGGCGAAAUCCAAGAUGGCGCCUCUGAAGAGCCUCUGGCUUUAUCAUCAUCCUGUUCUCAUGCUAAACAACAUGUCGCCAUGACAACGACUGGAAGAGACCAAGAAGGGACAGAAAAAAAGGGGUUUCUUGAUUCCGGGAAAAAUCUCCGUUCUUUCCCAAGGAAAGCACGAAUAUUCCCCCCCGUGCUCUUAAUGCCCAGCCCCUUCAUUAAAGACACCCUACCUCUGAAA
ensembl:lncRNA NQO2-AS1 NQO2 antisense RNA 1